rnacentral:rRNA from 1 species
UUGCCUUUUCAAAAGCGGAGGAAAAGAAACCAACAGGGAUUGCCUUAGUAGCGGCGAGUGAAGCGGCAAAAGCUCAAAUUUGAAAUCUGGCUCUUUCAGAGUCCGAGUUGUAAUUUGAAGAAGGUAUCUUUGGGUCUGGCUCUUGUCUAUGUUUCUUGGAACAGAACGUCACAGAGGGUGAGAAUCCCGUGCGAUGAGAUGAUCCAGGCCUAUGUAAAGUUCCUUCGAAGAGUCGAGUUGUUUGGGAAUGCAGCUCUAAGUGGGUGGUAAAUUCCAUCUAAAGCUAAAUAUUGGCGAGAGACCGAUAGCGAACAAGUACAGUGAUGGAAAGAUGAAAAGAACUUUGAAAAGAGAGUGAAAAAGUACGUGAAAUUGUUGAAAGGGAAGGGCUUGAGAUCAGACUUGGUAUUUUGUAUGUUACUUCUUCGGGGGUGGCCUCUACAGUUUAUCGGGCCAGCAUCAGUUUGGGCGGUAGGAGAAUUGCGUUGGAAUGUGGCACGGCUUCGGUUGUGUGUUAUAGCCUUCGUCGAUACUGCCAGCCUAGACUGAGGACUGCGGUUUAUACCUAGGAUGUUGGCAUAAUGAUCUUAAGUCGCCCGUCUUGAAACAC